GACGAACGCUGGCGGCGUGCUUAACACAUGCAAGUCGAACGGAAAGGCCCUGCUUUUGUGGGGUGCUCGAGUGGCGAACGGGUGAGUAACACGUGAGUAACCUGCCCUUGACUUUGGGAUAACUUCAGGAAACUGGGGCUAAUACCGGAUAGGAGCUCCUGCUGCAUGGUGGGGGUUGGAAAGUUUCGGCGGUUGGGGAUGGACUCGCGGCUUAUCAGCUUGUUGGUGGGGUAGUGGCUUACCAAGGCUUUGACGGGUAGCCGGCCUGAGAGGGUGACCGGCCACAUUGGGACUGAGAUACGGCCCAGACUCCUACGGGAGGCAGCAGCGGGGAAUAUUGCACAAUGGGCGGAAGCCUGUUGCAGCAACGCCGCGUGCGGGAUGACGGCCUUCGGGUUGUAAACCGCUUUCGCCUGUGACGAAGCGUGAGUGACGGUAAUGGGUAAAGAAGCACCGGCUAACUACGUG
rnacentral:rRNA from 1 species